UUACAUCUGUGCCCUCUUUAUUCCCUUUCUACUUCUCCUGCCUCAUCUCAUAUUUGAUCAUGUAUCUUUCUUGCUAGAAUCCCCCUGCUGUGUCUUCCUGCCUCUUUUCUGGCACCGCUCUCCUGGUGUUCGCACUCGGACUGCAGACCAGUGGGAGUAGCAGGGUCUGGGAGAGACAGCAGCUGUGGUAUAAGGAGGUGCCCUGGCCACUGGAGAGAGAUUUCUGGAGUCAUCUAGGAGUUUUGCUGAGAACCAAAAGCCCUGGGGAAGAAGAGGUGAGAAGAAGCAAAAAUGAAGCUCCAGCAAGUAGUCUUAAAAGGCUACAGACAUGGAACACUGGUUUUGCUUAUUUAUCUCCAUACAGCAGCUGGUCCUGUCUUAGGCUGGUGGUCUUUCAUGCCACACAGUCAUGCAUAUUUUCACUGUGAAUGUUCAAUAAAUAUUUAAGAAAUAAUAACUGAUCA
ensembl:lncRNA